rnacentral:rRNA from 1 species
UACGGAGGGUGCAAGCGUUAUCCGGAUUCACUGGGUUUAAAGGGCGCGUAGGCGGCGCACCAAGUCAGGCGUGAAAGCCCUGGGCUCAACCCGGGAAUUGCGCUUGAGACUGGUGUGCUUGAGUACGGGAGAGGAUAGUGGAAUUCCCAGUGUAGAGGUGAAAUUCGUAGAUAUUGGGAAGAACACCGGUGGCGAAGGCGGCUAUCUGGACCGUAACUGACGCUGAGGCGCGAAAGCGUGGGGAGCAAACAGG